CUGCAGGCUGUGAAACAGCUCAGGGCUGUUAACCUAAAGGCAGCUGGGAAAGGCAGAAAGAACAGGAGCCCGCCUGGCCCCCUGUGCUUCAGAACCCACCAGGCAAUAAACUGGAAGACUGAGAUUUUCCAGCCUAAUUGUUCGAGGGAGGAACUGCAGAGGGACCAUCCAAACCUCCAUGGUACAUGGUCCUAAGGAAUCGAUCCUCAAUGCAAACAGGUCAAGAAAGCCCUGGGGAGGAGCCUGAAGGGCCCUGAGAAGAGGGUGGUCAGAGCUGGACAUCUGCGCACACAGCAGGCUGGCUACAAGCCCAGGACAAGGGCCCCAGUGGAGGACCACCUACCACGUAGCUAUGAUUCUAAAACUUACAAAUCAAGCUAACAGACUUAAAUGGGCCCUGUCCCCCUACUUUAUAUAGACUCAGCAGACUGAAAUAUGAGGUUCAGAGGGAAGAGGCUCCAGCCCACACCUUGAGGACCUGUGCACACACAAGAGGACACUGCGGCCUGUUCAGCAAGUGCCAGCUCCACCUCCCUGCCAAGGGCCACCUUUUGAUCACUGUUUGGAGGCAAGACCUGGGAAAGAGGCCUGUCCAGAGACUGGAAGCUGGCUCAGGGCUCCUGCAUUUCUGGAGCCUGGUCUGAAAGAUGGGGUAUGGGCUUUGGGUGACAUGUCCCUUCCCUGCCCCCAGCCCCCAUGACUCCUCCCGCUGUGGGAGGUGUGGGCAGAGGAAGGCUCCAGCAGAGGCUCAAAAUGUGGUCCCUGGACUGGCAGCAUGGGCACCCCCUGGGAGCAGGUUAGAACUGCAGCCUGGCUCCAGACCUGCUAAAUCACGAUUGGCAUUCUAACCAGCCCCCCAGCUGAUUCAUGCCCACUGAGGUUUGAAAAGCACGGUUCUAAAGCACAAAACCCAGGCCUAGGGUCCCUCUGGCCCAGGUCUAGGGGUCCUAACAGUGGUUAUUAAUAAAUGUUUGCUCAGUGAAUGCCAAAUGUCACCUCUACCAGCUGGGGUGGCUGCCGGAGUCAUGGUGCUUUCAUCUCCUCUUUCUCUGGGGCCUCAGCGGCCAUGUUUCAGCUCUCGGCCCUGCUGCUGGCCUGAGCUGAUGGGUCCAGCAGGAGUCACCUGACCCACAUUAUGUCAAUCAGAGGAUCUCUCCCAGGAAUUUGAAACUUAGGCCUCAAAUCAAGCUCCCAGAGCAACAGCAAUAGUGGCCUCACUGCCCCUGUUAACGUGUACCAAGCAUGGCACAGAGUGUUUACAGAAAUUGUGAUCUGAUCUUCACAACCACCUCACAAGGCAGGUAUUAGUAUUAUUCUGCUUGAUUUUUAGAUGAGGAGAUGUGCUCGGAUAUUAAGUAAUUAUCCCAAAGGUUUAAGGGGGCAGGGAUGGCACCAGGGGAGCUGAGUGACUGGCCAUGUGGGGUAGAGACAUCAUCAACCUCUGCUACCAGGUCCCCAGGCUUCCAGGCUUCAUGGUGAUUGUAUGCCCUGGGGAGCAAGAUAUCUGGCUUGUGAAGUGCCACAGGGAGGAAGGAGGGAGUGGAGGAGGGAAGGGGGGCAGAAAGAAGGGUGGGAGCCGUGGGAGAGGGAGGCACAGAGAACCUCCAGUCCCCCAGCAAGAGUGGGGCACCCACUGGGACCAGCAGGCCCGCCCCACCUCAGCGCAGGCCAGAGAGCGCCCACUGACGACUCCUUCUUCCUCCAGCAAGUUAGCAGCCAACUUGUCAAAGAAAAGGGGUGGGUAGCUUACUUUGGAGACCAGCGUGGGGGCAGUGGAGAAGCUCCUCACCCCCAGAGGAACGGACACUUAAGAGGCUGAGGGGACAGAGGCAGCGGGGAUGUGCUGAGAUGGCUGAGGGCCUGCAGGGGCCAGAGAUCCCAUUCAGACUGGAGAAGGGAGUUGAGGGCCUCACUGGCUGGAGGCCCAAACAGGUUUCUGACUCCGGCUCUGGGUAGCAUGGGCCGUUCCAGGUGGCAGAGGGGUGGCCUGGGGCACGCAGGCCUCUGACCGCCUAAGAAAUAAAAACCAGUCAGCAGCAGCAGGUUUCUAUCGGAAUCCAAGGCUCAUCAGGGGCAGGGUUGUCUGGCUUUAUUUAUAAAACAAACCAACAUCUUUCAUUGACGCUAACACCGUGGUGGACCCCUGCUGUCACCAGACGUUCAGACAUCACUCAGCGCUGGUGCAGGUCACACCCUCAGCGGGCUCACGGUACAGUGUCACACUCUGGGCAGCACGCUGGCCCAGGGCGGCCACACAGAAAUCCACUUCUCACUGCACAAAUCUCUCUUAAAAAAAUCCAAAGAUCAUCAGGGUAGAGAGGAAUCGUUGGCUGUCCCAGUGAAGAGGGUACCAACGUGGUAACCGAGGCCGGCUCCUUCUGGCCCCUCACAGUGGGGUGGGGACCAGGAUUCCUCAGGACCGUGUGAGCAUUGCCAGGACGCUGCCAACGGCCUCCUUCCCUGUUGAGGAUGGAAGGGAUCCAUCCCAACGCCCACAAGUGGGGGCGAAGCUCUGGGAACCCAGCCUGUCAUCAGCGUCCCCGAGGCCCCCGCAGACUGGGAUGCAAAUAGCUCCGGGCCCACGCGGCUCCCAGUCUGCUGACGAGGGUGGCUCGCUCCUGUUUCUUCUCUCUUACUUUUUUCAGGGAGCAAAUUUCAGAGUAAGAGCUGGCAG